AUCUUUGAGACCAAGAAUCCUAACUCGGAUCCACAGCGCGACCCAAGUGAGACUAAGUUUUCCGGGUCAGCUAUCACCGCUCUACUGGAAAGCACGUCUCGUCGUAUUUUCUCGAAUUUCUUCCGUGCUGACCGUGUUCGACCCGGCAGGUGCGAGCCUGGGAGCUGCAUCUCUUGGACCCCCACCCGAAGUUUAUGGAAAGAACGUUACCGCAGUAAAGCGAACAACCAGCGAGGGCAUGGGAGCAUUAUCAUGAUUGUAAGUUUCCAAGCGUAAGCAGAAGCACGUUCGUCUGCGAGCUAUGGCUUCGACUUUUAUCUCGGAAAAUGUGGUGUAGUGAUCGAAGGACUUUCGAUGAUGCUGGAUACAUAGGCUUUGAGAGAAAAUAAAUGUUUGAUGAGGGAAUUAUUUUAAAAGGUCUCCAUCUCACGUACAUGUAGCUAUGUUGGAUUGAAUAGGUUUUUCAUAGGGUUAAAUAGAGCAUAUGGCAGUAGACCAAAACCUCCAUUUACGGGAAUUCUGUUCAUAAAAUUUCAAUUGUAAAUGACAUUGUCUCGCAAUGAAUUGACUCUCCGGAAAUCUAAUACAAAUUAAUUUUUUACACACUUCUUCUUGACAUUACGUCCCCAUUGGGAUGGAACCUUCUCAGCUCAGUCGAUCCGGCAGCACUGUUGUGAUCCUUUUGCAGUGUGUUUUAGGCUAGAUGUUAUUAACUAAAAAUCAGAGUUUUUUGAGCAAAUAAAUCAGAAAACAAAGUGA